rnacentral:rRNA from 1 species
GAGGGGCAGCGGGGAAGUGGCAACACUUCCGCCGGCGACCGGCGCACGGGUGAGUAACACGUAUGGAACCUGCCCGUAGCAGGGGGAUAAGCGGAAGAAAUUCCGUCUAAUACCGCGUAAUAUCUUUCGGGGGCAUCCCUGAGAGAUUAAAGGAAGCGAUUCCGGCUACGGAUGGGCAUGCGGCGCAUUAGCUAGUCGGCGGGGUAACGGCCCACCGAGGCGACGAUGCGUAGGGGUUCUGAGAGGAAGGUCCCCCACACUGGUACUGAGACACGGACCAGACUCCUACGGGAGGCAGCAGUGAGGAAUAUUGGUCAAUGGGCGAGAGCCUGAACCAGCCAAGUCGCGUGAGGGAAGACGGUCCUAUGGAUUGUAAACCUCUUUUGUCGGGGAGCAAAAAGGCCUCGUGAGGCCACAAGCGAGAGUACCCGAAGAAAAAGCAUCGGCUAACUCCGUGCCAGCAGCCGCGGUAAUACGGAGGAUGCGAGCGUUAUCCGGAUUUAUUGGGUUUAAAGGGUGCGUAGGCGGACUGGAAAGUCAGCGGUAAAAUCGAGAGGCUCAACCUCUUUCCGCCGUUGAAACUGUCGGUCUUGAGUGGGCGAGAAGUAUGCGGAAUGCGUGGUGUAGCGGUGAAAUGCAUAGAUAUCACGCAGAACUCCGAUUGCGAAGGCAGCAUACCGGCGCCCGACUGACGCUGAGGCACGAAAGCGUGGGUAUCGAACAGGAUUAGAUACCCUGGUAGUCCACGCAGUAAACGAUGAAUACUAAUUGUCCGGUCAGAAUGAUGACUGGGUGAUACAGCGAAAGCGUUAAGUAUUCCACCUGGGGAGUACGCCGGCAACGGUGAAACUCAAAGGAAUUGACGGGGGCCCGCACAAGCGGAGGAACAUGUGGUUUAAUUCGAUGAUACGCGAGGAACCUUACCCGGGCUCAAACGUAGAAUGACAGACGGUGAAAGCCGUUCUCCCUUCGGGGCAGUCUACGAGGUGCUGCAUGGUUGUCGUCAGCUCGUGCCGUGAGGUGUCGGCUUAAGUGCCAUAACGAGCGCAACCCCCAUCUACAGUUGCUAACAGGUAAAGCUGAGGACUCUGUGGAGACUGCCGGCGCAAGCUGUGAGGAAGGCGGGGAUGACGUCAAAUCAGCACGGCCCUUACGUCCGGGGCGACACACGUGUUACAAUGGCAGGUACAGCGGGAAGCCAUAUGGCGACAUAGAGCGGAACCCGAAAACCUGUCUCAGUUCGGAUUGGAGUCUGCAACCCGACUCCAUGAAGCUGGAUUCGCUAGUAAUCGCGCAUCAGCCACGGCGCGGUGAAUACGUUCCCGG